AGGCAGCAGUGGGAAAUAUUGCACAAUGGGGGGAACCCUGAUGCAGCAACGCCGCGUGAAGGAAGACGGUUUUCGGAUUGUAAACUUCUAUCAAUAGGGAAGAAAGAAAUGACGGUACCUAAAUAAGAAGCCCCGGCUAACUACGUGCCAGCAGCCGCGGUAAUACGUAGGGGGCAAGCGUUAUCCGGAAUUACUGGGUGUAAAGGGAGAGUAGGCGGCAAGGUAAGCGAUAUGUGAAAGCCUUAGGCUUAACCUGAGGAUUGCAUAACGAACUAUCUAGCUAGAGUACAGGAGAGGAAAGCGGAAUUCCUAGUGUAGCGGUGAAAUGCGUAGAUAUUAGGAAGAACACCAGUGGCGAAGGCGGCUUUCUGGACUGAAACUGACGCUGAGGCUCGAAAGCGUGGGGAGCGAACAGGAUUAGAUACCCUGGUAGUCCACGCUGUAAACGAUGAGUGCUAGGUGUCGGGGAGGAAUCCUCG
rnacentral:rRNA from 1 species